rnacentral:rRNA from 1 species
GACGGAAGGUGCAAGCGUUGCUCGGAAUCAUUGGGCGUAAAGGGUGCGCAGGCGGCCGGGUGUGUCAGAUGUGAAAUCCCGAGGCUCAACCUCGGAACUGCGUCUGAAACUACUCGGCUAGAGUACUGGAGAGGGUAACGGAAUUCACGGUGUAGCAGUGAAAUGCGUAGAUAUCGUGAGGAACACCAGAGGCGAAGGCGGUUACCUGGACAGUUACUGACGCUCAGGCACGAAAGCAUGGGGAGCAAAAGGG